rnacentral:rRNA from 1 species
GAUGAACGCUGGCGGCGUGCCUAAUACAUGCAAGUCGAGCGAACAGAUGAGGAGCUUGCUCCUCUGACGUUAGCGGCGGACGGGUGAGUAACACGUGGAUAACCUACCUAUAAGACUGGGAUAACUUCGGGAAACCGGAGCUAAUACCGGAUAAUAUAUUGAACCGCAUGGUUCAAUAGUGAAAGACGGUUUUGCUGUCACUUAUAGAUGGAUCCGCGCCGCAUUAGCUAGUUGGUAAGGUAACGGCUUACCAAGGCAACGAUGCGUAGCCGACCUGAGAGGGUGAUCGGCCACACUGGAACUGAGACACGGUCCAGACUCCUACGGGAGGCAGCAGUAGGGAAUCUUCCGCAAUGGGCGAAAGCCUGACGGAGCAACGCCGCGUGAGUGAUGAAGGUCUUCGGAUCGUAAAGCUCUGUUAUUAGGAAAGAACAAAUGUGUGAGUAACUAUGCACGUCUUGACGGUACCUAAUCAAAAAGCCACGGCUAACUACGUG